UACGAAGGGUGCAAGCGUUACUCGGAAUUACUGGGCGUAAAGCGUGCGUAGGUGGUUUGUUAAGUCUGUUGUGAAAGCCCCGGGCUCAACCUGGGAAUGGCAAUGGAUACUGGCAAGCUAGAGUGCGGUGGAGGGUAGUGGAAUUCCCGGUGUAGCGGUGAAAUGCGUAGAGAUCGGUAGGAACACCAGUGGCGAAGGCGGCUACCUGGACCAGCACUGACACUGAGGCACGAAAGCGUGGGGAGCAAACAGG
rnacentral:rRNA from 1 species